UGAGGAAUAUUGGGCAAUGCCCGCAAGGGUGACCCGGCAACGCCGCGUGGAGGAUGAAUGUCGUAAGAUUGUAAACUCCUGUUAGAGGGGAAGAAUAGUACCGGUUGGACCGGUAUAUGACUGUACCCUCAGAGAAAGCCCCGGCUAACUACGUGCCAGCAGCCGCGGUAAUACGUGGGGGGCAAGCGUUGUCCGGAUUUACUGGGUGUAAAGGGCGCGCAGGCGGGAUAAAAAGUCAGUGGUGAAAUCCUACAGCUUAACUGUAGAACUGCCUUUGAUACUUUUAUUCUUGAGUUCGGGAGAGAGAGACGGAAUUCCAGGUGUAGUGGUGAAAUACGUAGAUAUCUGGAAGAACACCAGUUGCGAAGGCGGUCUCUUGGUCCGACACUGACGCUGAGGCGCGAAAGCGUGGGGAGCAAACA
rnacentral:rRNA from 1 species